GCCAGCUUUGCCCACCUCCCAGCUGCUCACCUGCACGGCCCCGGAAGAACAUCAAGCAAACUGGGGGGAGAGGCAGCUUAGGCUGCCCCUGGGGGACCCUGCCAUGAGGCCCCAGGGGAUGUGAGGAGAUCGGAGCACUGUUUGCCUGAAUCCCGACAGACGAACCCUGCUGUCUAGAAGCCAUCAGAGGAAGAGAGUGCCAGGGCAGAGCUGCGUAGCCAUGUGGAAGCAGGAAAUGUGGAUGUGAUGCCCGGAGGUGAAGCAGCCAUUUUUGCAACCAUGAAGAAAAGAAGUCACUGAUAAGGAUGGCAGGGCAAGGAGCUGCAAAGAGCACUCUGGAGUUCCAGCUGUGUCAGAGCCCGUGACCGCCCCUGCACCCUGCCCUUCCAUGGGGCAAAGACCCGUCCACUCGCCACUUCCCAGUGAGUGCAGAUGGGAGGCACGCGGACAUUUGGAGAGGAUGACGUUGGAAAUUCAAGACACAACGGCUCCCAAGACGAGACCGGAAUAGCUCAGUGUUUCUGCUCUCCCAGGCCUGGAGCCUGAC